AUUGAACGCUGGCGGCAUGCCUUACACAUGCAAGUCGAACGGCAGCACGGUAGCAAUCCUGGUGGCGAGUGGCGAACGGGUGAGUAAAGUAUCGGAACGUGCCCAGUCGUGGGGGAUAACGUAGCGAAAGUUACGCUAAUACCGCAUACGAUCUAUGGAUGAAAGCGGGGGAUCGCAAGACCUCGCGCGAUUGGAGCGGCCGAUAUCAGAUUAGGUGGUUGGUGGGGUACAGGCUCACCAAGCCGACGAUCUGUAGCCGGGCUGAGAGGAAGACCAGUCACGCUGGGACUGAGACACGGGCCAGACUCCUACGGGAGGCAGCAUUGGGGAAUUUUGGACAAUGGGCGCAAGCCUGAUCCAGCCAUGCCGCGUGCAGGAUGAAGGCCUUCGGGUUGUAAACUGCUUUUGCACGGAACGAAAAGGUUUGACUUAAUACGUUGGACUCAUGACGGUACCGUAAGAAUAAGCACCGGCUAACUACGUGCCAGCAGCCGCAGUAA
rnacentral:rRNA from 1 species